rnacentral:tRNA from 1 species
UAGCUUAGUGGUCAGAGCAUUGGUGUGUAAAGCCAAAGGUCUGGGGUUCGAUUCCCGG